GGAGGGGUGGCAGAGCGGUUGAAUGCACCGGUCUUGAAAACCGGCAUAGGUUAAUAGCUUAUCGAGAGUUCGAAUCUCUCCUCCUCCGCCA
rnacentral:tRNA from 1 species